UACAGAGACUGCAAGCGUUAUUCGGAUUCACUGGGCGUAAAGGGUGCGCAGGCGGCCGUGUGUGUUAGGUGUGAAAGCCCGGGGCUUAACCCCGGAAUUGCGCCUAAAACUACAUGGCUAGAGCAUUGGAGAGGGUAGCGGAAUUCACGGUGUAGCAGUGAAAUGCGUAGAUAUCGUGAGGAACACCAGAGGCGAAGGCGGCUACCUGGACAAUUGCUGACGCUCAGGCACGAAAGCGUGGGGAGCAAAAGGG
rnacentral:rRNA from 2 species